AGAACGAACGCUGGCGGCAUGCCUAAUACAUGCAAGUCGAACGAGAUCUUCGGGUCUAGUGGCGCACGGGUGCGUAACGCGUGGGAAUCUACCCCUUGGGUUCGGAAUAACAGUUGGAAACGACUGCUAAUACCGGAUGAUGACGAAAGUCCAAAGAUUUAUCGCCCAAGGAUGAGCCCGCGUAGGAUUAGCUAGUUGGUGAGGUAAAGGCUCACCAAGGCUACGAUCCUUAGCUGGUCUGAGAGGAUGAUCAGCCACACUGGGACUGAGACACGGCCCAGACUCCUACGGGAGGCAGCAGUAGGGAAUAUUGGACAAUGGGGGCAACCCUGAUCCAGCAAUGCCGCGUAGAGUGAUAGGAAGGUCCGUUAGGG
rnacentral:rRNA from 1 species